GGUCUUAUGGUGUAAUGGUUAGCACUCUGGACUCUGAAUCCAGCGAUCCGGGUUCAAAUCCCUCGUUUUGCACCG
rnacentral:tRNA from 1 species